CUAUCUAUAUCUGUGGUCGGCACGUCUGGUAGCAUCUCUGGCUGCUGUUGAUCUUGUUUUUGGAGUAAAACACGGAGGAAGCUGAAUUAGUGAGGAUGACUCCUGCUCCUGUCAUCUCUAAGCUCCUCACACAUCUUUACCUGCACAUGAGGAAAAUCACUCCUGUAGAAUGCAGAUGUUCAGAGGGAGAUGAUGCCACAUCUGGUCCAGCUGAUGGAAGGUCUUGAAGUUCUCUGACUGGCCUCGACUGAAGAUGGUCGUCUCACUGGAUUUAAGGUUCAGAUGCUCAGUAACAAACUCCACCAAUGAGCCAACAGGGAAGCUUUAGGUUUAUUAAAUGUUGCUAUGAAGGUAUCGCUGUUUUUCUUUGAAGUACCUGCCCCUUUUGUCCUUGAUGCCCAAAGUGCCUUUUUGUCAAAGUAGUUUUUUUUUAAAUAUUAUUUAAUUUGUUUUUUUUAUUCAUGUGUGUAAAAGUCUUUGAGGCCCAAAAUAAUAAAUAAAACAAAAAUAAUAAUAAUUCAGAUCUACCCUCGGUCGGUCACGUGAUCCACGUAGACGUCCCUCACUGCUCUGAGGUUCCCAGAUGUUCCCUGUAGCUCAGUGCUAGCGCCGCUAGUCUAGAAACCGGAGGCUCGAGGGAGGAUGUUUUGCAGUGGGAUUCGUUUGUGCACGGUGUAUUUUAGAUGACAGACUAAUUGAAGUGAGCAUCCUGUGUGUGUGUGACUCUAACACACCUCUCAUCAGUUAUAGCCGCUAGUUAACCCACAGUGUGCUGAGAGGA